rnacentral:rRNA from 1 species
GACGAACGCUGGCGGCGUGCUUAACACAUGCAAGUCGAACGGAAAGGCCCCUUUGGGGGUACUCGAUUGGCGCACGGGUGAGUAACACGUGAGUAACCUGCCCUUGACUUCGGGUUAACUUCAGGAAACUGGGGCUAAUACCGGAUAGGAAUCCUUGCUGCAUGGUGGGGGUUGGAAAGCUUCGGCGGUUUUGGAUGGACUCGCGGGUUAUCAGCUUGUUGGUGGGGUAGUGGCUUACCAAGGCUUUGACGGGUAGCCGGCCUGAGAGGGCGACCGGCCACAUUGGGACUGAGAUACGGCCCAGACUCCUACGGGAGGCAGCAGUGGGGAAUAUUGAACAAUGGGCGGAAGCCGGAUGCAGCAACGCCGCGUGCGGGAUGACGGCCUUCGGGUUGUAAACCGCUUUCAGCAGGGGCGAAGCUUGUGGUGACGGUACCUGCAGAAGAAGCACCGGCUAACUACGUG